rnacentral:lncRNA from 1 species
CCUUGUUGUUGUUUUUCAUGUAACAUUUUUACAAAUCCAUUUCAUUUGUUGAGACAUUAGGGGGAGAAGAAGAAAAAAAAGAGGGGAAAGGGGGAGAAAUAAAAGAAGUUAUGCUUCAAAGCUUCCUUCCAUGUUGUUCAUACUCUGCUGAGUUUGGUGCUCACAACUCACAGUUGUGGGUCCAGUGCACUUGGACCCGCUUUGCAGGAGUGGAAGGUCUCUGGAAGUGCUCUCCAGUCGCCUAGCCCAGUUGGGGCAGAACCAGUUGUUGAGCCCAGUCAUUGGCAUCAGCUCAAAGUCGUACUGACAGGCUGCAGAGCUGUGGGGCGGACCAGGGGUUGGGGUGGGCAAGCUGGCUCCCCUGGCUUGUGGUGGAGCUUCUCCUCCCGUGGCACCUGUGGCGCCUUUGCAGCCGCUCUGUUCACAGGAGGAGCUGCUGCUGCUGCUCCCCUCACUUUCUGCCCACUCAGUCAGUCCCUGCUGUGGCGUUCGGAGCCCCCGUCUCACGGACUAUUGACUCGUACACCACUAAUCCGCUGCCACCAACCAGGUCUUCCCCAGUAAAUCACUUAGUCUCAUUCAGGUUCUUAAGUUAACAAAGAAGAGUGUCGUUUAUUGCAAACACAAAUAAACUUUAACUGCAUUCCAAACGCUGUUAUUCUUUACCUUCUUAGUCUUAUUUUAUCCUGUCUCUAACUCUUCUACCUCCCCUCACACAAGAACCAACUGCAUUUAACUGUCUCUCUAUUUCCAACUGUCUGCCAACUGCUUUCCCAACUGCCUUUCCCAACCAACCAACCAACUAACUCAAACUCAAACCUGGGGCUAAGCCCUUUUAUAAACAGGUAGGCUCCGCCUCUGGCUGUUCUAUUGGUCUACAUAUUAACCCUUUCUCUCCCCCUGUACAGGCAUUUUCAAAUGAAUGGACAAAUGCCGCAUCCGCACUUGAGGUAAACCCAGUACAGUGGCUUCACGGCGGGGUUCUGCAAUGGACGGGCAGGCUGGAUCUAGGACCAUGGCGGACUGGAUGCAACCCGUGGGCUGUAGUUUGAGGACCGCUGAUCUGGAGCUUCUCCCUCUGCCCAUGACCUGAAGCAGCCACAGCAGGUGCUGCAAGCUGCCAACUGUUGGACUUCACCCCCAAAGGCCCCCUUCUCCUGAGCAGACAGGUGCCAACCAGGGUCUCUUUACCUGCCGAGGACUGCACCUGCAACCUUCUCCUGCAUGCAAAGAAUUGAAUUCAAGACCUUUUUUUGAAAAAACAACAUUCAUUUAUUCAAAGUAAAUACAGCUUUGUCCACUGCCAUAAUAUCACAGAAUGACCACUCCAAUCCUCAAUCUCACAUCACGGUCAUUUUGGCUCCCCCAAUACCCUCAGUAGGAACCCAACUACCAAUUUGCUUGGUUAGACAUUACCAGUCAUUAUAAUCUCCUCCACAAAUACCUCCAUGAUAAUGAUUAAAGGUAAAGGGACCCCUGACUGUUAGGCCCAGUUGUGGACGACUCUGGGGUUGUGGCGCGCAUCUUGCUUUAUUGGCCGAGGGAGCCGGUGUACAGCUUCCAGGUCAUGUGGCCAGCAUGACUAAGCCGCUUCUGGCAUACCGGAGCAGCACACAGAAACACCGUUUACCUUCCCGCCGGAGCGGUACCUAUUUAUCUACUUGCACUUUGAUGUGCUUUCGACCUGCUAGGUUGGCAAGAGCAAUGGGAGCUCACCCCAUCGUAGGGAUUCGAACUGCCGACCUUCUGAUCGGCAGGCCCUAGGCUCCUAUGUUUAACCCACAGCGCCACCCGCAUCCCAUGUUAAUGAAUAUCAUGGCAUUAAAAUAUCCUGUUCUUCAAGCAAAGGAGAGAAAGGGAGAUUGUGUCAAAAGCAUCUUUUUUUGGAGAAACCUUAAAUUAGACACUGGUUGUAUACGAGGCCUUCUGAUAGAGCAUGUACGCCCAACGCAUCAAUCUCAUCGUUCGCACGAUGGAUAUUAGGGUUGCAGGUGCCUCAGGCACCCCGCUCCGGCCACUGGCAUUGCCCAACGCCCAGUCAGCUGGCUGCCAAGGAAAGGUAUGAGGCGCUUGCCUCCACCACAAGCCUCAGCCCAUGGCGGGCAGGCGAAGAUGAGGCCCGUGGGCUCCUUUUGGGCUUCAGCUGCGGAGGGUACGCAAGAGAGACAAUGACAUCCCUCCUCCCUCUCCUGCCAGUUCCCAUGGGGGAAAAACCACUCUCCCUUCUAGUUCUGUGUGGAUGCUGAACUUUCCCAAUCAGAAGCUGCAGGAGCCCCUUCGGACGUUCAGGUUCCAAAACAACGUUCGCAAACGGAACAGUCACUUCCGAGUUUGCGGCGUUCGGAAACAAAACGUCCGAGUUCCAGGGCAUUCGGGAUCCAUGGUAUGACUGUACAGUCAUACCUCGGGUUACAGACGCUAAAUCACGCUUUGCGCAUGCGCAGAAGCGCCGAAUCGCAUCCCGCGCAUGCAGACGCACCGUUGCAGGUUGCGAACGCUGCGGGUUGCAAACAUGCAUCCCGCACGGAUCACGUUCGCAACCCAAGUGGACAUGGGAUAUUAUACAAUAAUAGCACAUCUUCCAUUCUUUUACUAAACUACUUAUGGCAUUCUAGCACUUUGGGAGAAACGUUCUCUCAAUAAACGUCUAUGUUCUGCACUUGGCAGGAAGGUCCCAUAAUGAUUGAGAUGUGAAUUUUGUUUUGUUCUGCCUUUGUUGUGUUCUCAAGUGUCAAAGUUAUCUCUCUUCUGGUCCUUCGACAUACCACAGCAACCACCCCUCAAAAGACAUUCCUGGUGUUAGGGCUUUCACUGAAUGACCAUGAGCAAUAUCCCAGGCAGCUAGGGGGUGACACUUCCUGGAGAGAAAUGCCCCAUCUUGCCCAUCUUUGGGGGUUUGGCUUUGGUCCUGCGGUCAAGGGUCUUGUUGCUCACUUGUUAUUAAAGUUGUCUUUCGCUACCGCUGCAGGAAAUCGAACCCAUGAAUUUCUCACUAAAUAAACGGGAAUAUAGAGCUUGCCGGCUGGGAAGUGAAUUUCUGUUUUGCAAGGAGGGGGAGGCGGAUCUCCUGCCGCUCCCCCUUCCUCUGGGUCAAUGAGCUGGGCUUCCUAGAGAGGCAGGAAGGGGGGUUUUAUGGGAGGGGAGGCUAUUUGGAGGAGAGGGGUCUCCAUCCUCAUUCCAGGAAGAGAAGCGGACUUGGAGAAGAGGAAAAAGAGGUGUCGCAUAUUUGGGGGUUAUUUGGGGAGGGGGGGUGGGAGAAGGAUUUGCUUUCCCUCUGCCUGAAUCGACAAACAGGGCAGCUGGGAAAGGAGGCGGGAGGAUUGCGGGGGGGGGUGCAAAGAAAGCAGGGAGGGGGCCUGCCCUUUCUCUGUAGAAAUCAUGGAGGGGGGGCUGGAUGCAGGCCAUCCUGUUGCAAAGUGGGGUCUCCCUCCCCCAACAGGGUUUGCAUUGCAAGAUCCUUUUCGAAGCGCAGAGAUCAAGCCAGGCUCCCAUGGUGGAGGGGGAGGGGGGCGAAGACACUUGAGACGAUCCACACAAGGGUGAACCCCCGCCCCCAGUGGAACUUAAUUACAAAGGGAUUUGCAGCCCCACCCUGUGCAUGUUGACUCAGAAGUCAGUCCUUCUCCGUUCAAAGGGGGGGGCAGCCCCAUUCCACCUAGUGAUGCUCCUCUCUGCUUAACACCCUCCAUCUCCUUUCUCACUCCUGCCCCCCCCCCCAUCGCUUCCCCCAGGCUCUGCCUCCUGCGACAGAGGAGGGGUGAGCUCCUCCAGGACCCUGACCUGCCCCCCUCCGAAAUCUGCUGCUGAGGCCCCUGCCUCAGUGGGUCGGAGAUCGUGAGGGCAAGCAGGGGAGAGGAAGUCUGUUUUGAUGCAGCUGGAGAGAGGGAGAUUUCGAGUGGGGGGGGGGUGAGAGAUGGACAGUGUCACGGGAAAUCGGCCUCCGGGUGGGAGAUCUGGCCUGUCUUGCAGGAUUGGCCCAGCGCAGAGGGGCUGAGGGACUUUCUCUGCCGGUGCUGCCAGCCUCGCUCCCGCCUGGCCUCAUCCCCAUCCAGGUUGCCAGGAGGGUCUUCUGACACUAAAGGUCUUCUAAAGCCCACCACCUGGGCAAUGCUCACACCAGAACCCUGCAAGGUGGGCCAGGAUGACAGCCAGAUUGAUGGGCAGGGCCAGAAGACAGAGUUGGUCGUGCUAUGGGGCUGACUCUGAGCUUUGUCCAGGAGCUGCCUGCCUUCCAGGGAUUUUUUCCAGCCACACAAAAAUACCUCAGGAGGCAGCUGGGAAGCAUUGGAAAGAGGGUGUGGCGCUGGGGAAGUUCCUGAGGGCCAGAGAGAGAGAGAGAGAGAGAGAGAGAGAGAGAAAGGACUUGAGGACCAAUUUAGCCUACUUUGGUCUGAGGUUCCCCACCCUGCAGUUCGGGUGCUGGGCUUAGACCAGGGAGACCCAAUCUCCCAUCCCCAUGCUCAGGAGGGAUGCCCUGUGCCCGUUUUGGACCCUCUGAUUAUUUCUCCUCCUGUCCUUCCUCCCAGUGUAGGGAAGAUAAAAGGGGACACACACACACACACACACACACACACACACAGGUUCCUAAGAGGAAGGACUAGGGGGCCAUAAGCCACUGAACUUCAUAUCUCUGUCCCCUAAACUACAGUCCAUGUUAGCGCAUAGAGUGCUCUAAAUAUUUCCAUCUGCUCCCCUUGGAUGGAGCUUCUGCACCCUGGUGCCCCCCAGGUGUUGCUUUUCUUCUGACUGCAAAUUCUGCCCAUAAUUUAGGAAUUUCCUUUAUUUCCUUUAUUCUAAAUGUAUCAAAGGGUCAGAAACAGGUUUCCUGGAUGGCUGUUUGGAGGAAAGGAAAAGCGAGGUCUUCAGAGGUACUGACCGUAAUGCUUUCUGCGAAGCUUCAUUCAGAGUUUGGGAUUUGAUCCUAGAAGUUUACAAACCGAAGCUGAAUGUUCCCUAAAAACUCAUGCAGCUUAUAGUAUUAUAAAGUUCCUGUAGAAAGAAUUACAUCUUUUCCAGUUCACUGCCUGCACUCCCUUGAAGGGAACCACAGGAGAGCUGGUCCCUAUUAUGAUAAUCUCAAGUGUUCCAAAGCUUUCCAGCAAUGAGUUGAUAAGCAGCUACUAAAACAAAGGGAAUGAAUCCCUGAUAUCUCAAAUCAGCAUUUUCAUCUAUAAAAAUGGUUAACAUUCCCAAAGUUGGGGUACAUAGUACAUUUGGUUUUCACUAACACUUCCUAUAUUUUUCAUAAUAUGUGUUUGGAUUUUGUAUUUGUUAUAGAAUUUAUGAGUAUUACUUUAUUAAUAUUGGUAAUUAUAAUUUUUUUUAAAAAAAAAUAAUUUUUAUUGGUUUUUACACAUAUUUUCCAGCAUUUUGCAUUUUAUUACUAUACUUUUUGCCAUAAGUCCAAAUCCUACAUCAACUAUUCUUAAUCCUUUUCGCAAUAAUUUGUAAAAUUCCUUACAAAACUUCUUGUAACCCUACAAGUGAUGUUAAUUGGUUACAAUUGUCUUUCAGAUACAUCAUGAAUUUCUUCCAGUCCUUCAGGAAAGUCUGGUCCUGCUGAUUCCAAAGUUUCCCUGUUAGUCUCGCCAACUCAGCAUAGUCCAUCAAUUUCAUUUGCCACUCUUCUUUUGUUGGCAUUUCCUCCUGAUUCCAUCGUUGGGCUAAUAGUAUUCUUGCUGCAGUGGUCGCAUAUAAAAACAAGUUUUUAUCAUUCUUAUGAAUUUCUGUACCUACAAUAUCAGGUAAUAGAGCUUCUGGCUUUUUUGCAAAUGUACAUUUUUAAAAAAUUUCAUUGUAAAUCAUUUCCCAGAAGUGUUUUACUUUUUACCUUCCCACCACAUAUUGUAAAACGUACCCUCUUUUCCCUUACAUUUCCAACAUUUAUUAUUAUUUGUGUGGGGCUUUUUUGUACAUCUUAGCUAGUUUCACUGGUGUUAUAUACCAUCUGUACAUCAGGUAUUUGUAAUUUCUAAAAGGUAUGCUAUCUGUGUAAAUGUCUCCCACCCAAAAUAAACCCGCCUUUCUGUGAACCGCCCUGAGACCUCCAGUUAUAGGGUGGAAUAUAAAUUCAAUAGAUUGCUGUUGUUGCUGUUGUUGUUGUUAUCAUCAUCAUCAUUUCUGCAUUGUUCUCCGUAAAGAGCUGCUCCCUACAUUGAGUGCAUCGUGGCAACAGCUGAGAGAGUCCCAGAAGUGGCCCAGUUUACGCCUCCUCCUCCUCCUCCGUCCUUUCCACUGCCAGCGCAAUGGCCUCUGAGUCCCCCUCUGAACGGCCUCUUCUUAAAGGUGGAGUGGAAAGAGGAGUCAGGCAGCUUCCUCAGGUAGGGAAAGAGCAACGGGAGGAGGGAAGAGGCACAGAUGGGACCACCCAGCCUCCCUCUGUGUUGAGUGGGGAUGAUGGGGAUCUAAGAGAAGCUGUCUUCUUCCUCUUCUUCUUCCAGGCCUUCUUGACCUUUGAGGAGGUGGCUGUGUUUUUCACGGAGGAGGAGUGGGCUCUGCUGGAUCCUGGCCAACGAGCUCUGCACAAGGAAGUCAUGGAGGAGAAUUAUGAGAUGGUGGCCUCUCUAGGUAAGGGCAGAUUUUUAUUCCUCCUGGCUGUUAGACGUUGAAGGUGUGAAUCUGCUGUUUGAGCCAUUUAUUCAUGUUGUGUCUUCUUCUUUGGCAACCCCUCGUAGCCGAGUAAGAUUGUCUUCCAUGAACACGGUCUUAACGGUGUGUCCGUAAGUGACUAUAGAGGCCAAUUCUAGAUCCACACAUCCUUCGGCAGUAGGGACAUAGGUUAAUUACGGUCAGCCUUUGCCAAACGUGCUUUCAUCUUUGCUUGUUUCUCCCUCUUCUCCUGUGUUUGUCUUUCUUCAAAAUCCAUGAAGCCUUUGGUAAAGGCUAUUAUCCAAUUGGAGCACUUACAGGCCAGUGUUUCCCAGUUGUCAGUGUUUAUACUACAUUUUUUUAGAUUUGCCUUGAGACAGUCUUUAAACCUCUUUUGUGGACCACCAGCAUUACGCUUUCCAUUUCUAAGUUCGGAAUAGAGUAGUUGCUUUGGAAGACAAUCAUCAGGCAUCCGCACAACACGACCACUCCAACGAAGUUGAUGUUGAAGAAUCAUUGCUUCAACACUGGUAAUCUUUGCUUCUUCUAGUACACUGAUAUUAGUCCGCCUAUCUUCCCAAUUUUUCGGAGACACCGUUGAUGGAAUCUUUCAAUGAGUUGGAGAUGGUGUUUAUAAGUGGUCCAUGUUUCACAAGCAUAUAGUAAGGUUGGUAGUAAAAUAGCUUUGUAAACAAGCAUUUUGGUUUCUCUGCGAAUGUCCCGGUCCUCUAACACUCUGCCCUUCAACUGGAAGAAAGCUGCACUCGCAGAGCUCAGGCGAUGCUGGGUUUCAGCAUCAAUGUUGGCCCUUGUGGAAAGAUAACUGCCUAGGUAGGAGAAGUGAUCAACAUUUUCCAAUGUUACACCACUGAGUUGGAUUUGUGGUGUUGCAGAGUGGUUAUUUUCUACUUGUUGGUGCAGGUGGUUUUUUGGAUAUUGAGUGAUAGGCCAAGCUUUUCGUAAGCUUCUGCAAAGAUAUUUAGGAUGGUUUGGAGGUCAUCCUCUGAGCGUGCGCACACUACGUUGUCAUCAGCAUACUGAAGCUCUAUGACAAAAGUUACGGUAACCUUACUCUUUGUUUUCAACCUGCUCAGAUUGAAGAGCUUUCCAUCUGUUUGAUGUAUGAUUUCUACUCCAGUGAGGAUUUUCCCUUUGACAAAGUGUAGGAUCCUGGCAAUGAAAAUAAUGAAUAGAGUUGUGGCAAUAACACAACCCUGUUUAAUACCUGAUCCUACUGUGAUCAACAUCUUUAUCAACGACUUGGAUGAUGGACUCAAGGGCAUCCUGAUCAAAUUUGCAGAUGACACCAAAUUGGGAGGGGUGGCUAACACCCCAGAGGACAGGAUCACACUUCAAAACGACCUUGACAGAUUAGAGAACUGGGCCAAAACAAACAAGAUGAAUUUUAACAGGGAGAAAUGUAAAGUAUUGCACUUGGGCAAAAUGAGAGGCACAAAUACAAGAUGGGUGACACCUGGCUUGAGAGCAGUACAUGUGAAAAGGAUCUAGGAGUCUUGGUUGACCACAAACUUGACAUGAGCCAACAGUGUGACGCGGCAGCUAAAAAAGCCAAUGCAAUUCUGGGCUGCAUCAAUAGGAGUAUAGCGUCUAGAUCAAGGGAAGUAAUAGUGCCACUGUAUUCUGCUCUGGUCAGACCUCUCCUGGAGUACUGUGUCCAGUUCUGGGCACCACAGUUCAAGAAGGACAUUGACAAACUGGAACGUGUCCAGAGGAGGGCAACCAAAAUGGUCAAAGGCCUGGAAACGAUGCCUUAUGAGGAACGGCUAAGGAGCUGGGCAUGUUUAGCCUGGAGAAGAGGAGGUUAAGGGGUGAUAUGAUAGCCAUGUUCAAAUAUAUAAAAGGAUGUCACAUAGAGGAGGGAGAAAGGUUGUUUUCUGCUGCUCCAGAGAAGCGGACACGGAGCAAUGGAUCCAAACUACAAGAAAGAAGAUUCCACCUAAACAUUAGGAAGAACUUCCUGACAGUAAGAGCUGUUCGACAGUGGAAUUUGCUGCCAAGGAGUGUGGUGGAGUCUCCUUCUUUGGAGGUCUUUAAGCAGAGGCUUGACAACCAUAUGUCAGGAGUGCUCUGAUGGUGUUUCCUGCUUGGCAGGGGGUUGGACUCGAUGGCCCUUGUGGUCUCUUCCAACUCUAUGAUUCUAUGAUUCUAUGAAUGGUUCACUUUGAGAGCCAUUGUUAUCUGUGAUUGUUGCUGUCAUAUUAUCAUGGAGGAGCCGGAUGAUGUUCACAAAUUUAUCUGGGCAGCCAAUUUUCAGAAUGACAGUCCACAGGGCAUUACGAUUUACAGUGUCGAAAGCCUUAGUCAGGUCAAUAAACACUAUAUACAGGGGUUGGUUUUGCUCUCUGCAGAGACUCAUAGGAUAAUAAUGAUGGCAUGAGGUUUACUGGUCCAUGUCAUAGUUUUUAAUGGGCCCCCAGAUACUUUGCUGUUUACUUCACAAGAUUAAUAUUUUUGAAUAUUUGUACAGUUACAUGUGACAUAAACAACAUUUCUAUUUUACUUAUUCCACAUAGCAGGGACUCUGAUACUCAAGUCUGAGCUCAUCUCGUCGUUUGGAACAGAAAAAUACAGUGAUGUUGUCCUGGAGAAAUUGCGAGGUACAUGCUUCCACUUGGCUGUGAGAUUGUAACUUUCAAUGUCUCCUUUCAUGUGUAGGAAUAUUAAAAAAGCUGUUUUGGAUCAGAACGAGGGCCCAUCUUUUCCAGCAUCCUGGUGCAGGUUACAGAUCAAGGAGGAUGGAGAAAACUGAAUACAGAGGUGCAGCAUUUUCACAGGAGGGGGAAAGUGUCUCUCUCUGGAUGUGGCUGCACUACAACUCCCAUCAUCCCUGGUCAUUGGCCAUCUUUGCUUGGGUUGAUGGUACUUAGAGUCCAACCACAUCUUGAGGGCCACAGAUGCCUCAUCUCAGCAUAGAAGGUUCUCUUGGUGCUCAGUGUUACAUGGGAGUUGAAGGUAGAACUGGAUACUAGGGGUUAUUGAGGCUAUUUUCAGAUUACCUUUCCUAUAAAUUUGGUACAUAGGAGAGAAAGGAAUCCAGGAGAUGUUAAAAGAAGAGAAGGUGCUGAUUAGUCUUGCUCUGUGUUGAGUUGCUUUGUUCUAUUCAUUGAAUAUCUAACAAUAUUUUCCUAUCCCCCACUUUAAACCAGGUGAUGGAGAAGGCAAUCAGAAUAUUGAAGGGCCAUCUGUAAAGUACUUCAGUGUGAGUGAACACCUUAGCACACAUCUACAAACUAACACUGGGGAGAAACUCUUUAAAUGUAUAGAGUGUGGAAAGAGCUUCAGUGAAAGAGGAAAACUUACCGUACAUCAACGAAUUCACACAGGGGAGAAACCAUUCGGAUGUAUGGAGUGUGGAAAAAGCUUCAGUGAAAGAGGGAAACUUACUGUACAUCAACGAACUCAUACAGGGGAGAAACCAUAUAAAUGUAUGGAGUGUGGAAAGAGCUUCAGGCGGUGUUCACAUCUUACUAGACAUCAACGGACUCACACAGGGGAGAAACCAUAUAAAUGUAUGGAUUGUGGAAAGAGCUUCAGACAGUGUUCACACUUUACUAGACAUCAACGAACUCACACAAGGGAGAAACAAUUUAAAUGUAUGGAGUGUGGAAAGAGCUUCACCAAUAGGGGAGUGCUUAGAAAUCAUCAACUGACUCACACAGGGGAGAAACCCUUUAAAUGUAUGGAGUGUGGAAAGAGCUUCAGUAAGUCUUCACAACUUACUAUUCAUCAACGAACUCACACAGCGGAGAAACCAUUUAGAUGUAUGGAGUGUGGGAAGUGUUUCAGAGAAAGAGGAAACCUUACUAGACAUCAACAAACUCACACAGGGGAGAAACCAUUUAAAUGUAUGGAGUGCGGAAAUAGCUUCAGUAAGUCUUCACAACUUACUAUUCAUCAACGAACUCACACAGGGGAGAAACCAUUUAGAUGUAUAGAGUGUGGGAAGUGUUUCAGUCAGAGUGGAAGCCUUAUUUUACAUCAACGAAUUCACACAGGGGAGAAACCAUAUAAAUGUUUUGAGUGUGGGCAGAGCUUCAUUUGUAGUGCGAAACUCACUGUGCACCAACGAAGUCACACAGGAGAGAAACCAUUUGAAUGUAUGGAUUGUGGGAUGUGCUUCAGCCAGAGUGGAGUACUUAUUGUACAUCAACGUACUCACACUGGUGAGAAACCAUUUAAAUGUAUGGAGUGUGGAAAGAGCUUCAAUCACAAUGGAAUGCUUACUGUACAUAAAAGAACUCACACAGGUGAGAAACCAUUUAAAUGUAUGGAGUGUGGGAAGUGCUUCAGUCAGUGUUCACAGCUUACUUUGCAUCAACGAAGUCACACAGGGGAGAAACCAUUUAAAUGUAUGGAAUGUGGAAAGAGCUUCAGACACGGUUCACACCUUACUUUACAUCUACGAACUCAUACAGGGGAGAAACCAUUUAAAUGUAUGGAGUGUGGGAAAGUUUUCAUUCAGAGUUCAGCUCUUACAACACAUCUACGAAUUCACACAGGGGAGAAACCAUUUAGAUGUAUGGAGUGUGGGAAGAGCUUCAGUCGAUGUUCACACCUUACUAUACAUCUUAGAACUCACACAGGGGAGAAACCAUUUAAAUGCUUGGAGUGUGGGAAGUGCUUCAGUAAGAGUGUAACUCUUAGAAAACAUCAGCAAACUCACAGAGAAACAAUGGUUUAAGUGGAAGGAGUGUUGAAUGUGUUUCAAUUAUAAUGGCAUUAUUGAUUAAGACAUAUGGACUCUCACAGGGGAGAACCCAUUUAGAUGUAUGGAGUGUGCCAAGUUUUUCACACAGAGUUCACUUUGUGCUUCAUGUCAACAAACCUAUAGAGGGAAAUAUCAUGUAGUGUGUUUGGUGUUCUGGUGUUUGUAUGGAAUGUUGUACAUAUAUGUAUUAAAGCAAUGGAGAUAAUGUCUCAUAAUAGUAAGUGUAAUGAAAGAUACAAUGUACUGUAUGGGAUGUGCAGAAUGUGACUCUGGAGUGCUCAUU